rnacentral:rRNA from 1 species
ACGGAAGGCAGCAGUAGGGAAUAUUGCACAAUGGGGGAAACCCUGAUGCAGCGACGCCGCGUGAGCGAUGAAGUAUUUCGGUAUGUAAAGCUCUAUCAGCAGGGAAGAUAAUGACGGUACCUGACUAAGAAGCCCCGGCUAACUACGUGCCAGCAGCCGCGGUAAUACGUAGGUGGCAAGCGUUAUCCGGAUUUACCGGGUGUAAAGGGCGUGUAGGCGGGACAGCAAGUCAGAUGUGAAAGCACGAGGCUCAACUUCGUGUCCGCAUUUGAAACUGCUGUUCUUGAGUGCUGGAGAGGCUAACGGAACUCCUAGUGUAGCGGUGAAAUGCGUAGAUAUUAGGAAGAACGCCAGUGGCGAAGGCGGUUAGCUGGACAGUAACUGACGCUGAGGCGCGAAAGCGUGGGUAGCAAACAGGAUUAGAUACCCUGGUA